UCUUUAGACCGCUGCGCCGAGCAUCUAAC
rnacentral:sRNA from 1 species